rnacentral:rRNA from 1 species
CCUACGGGAGGCAGCAGUGGGGAAUAUUGCACAAUGGGGGGAACCCUGAUCCAGCGACGCCGCGUGAGUGAAGAAGUAAUUCGUUAUGUAAAGCUCUAUCAGCCGGGAAGAAAAUGACGGUACCUGAGUCAGAAGCACCGGCUAACUACGUGCCAGCAGCCGCGGUAAUACGCAGGGGGCAAGCGUUAUCCGGAUUUACUGGGUGUAAAGGGAGCGUAGACGGCAGUGCAAGUCUGGAGUGAAAGGCGGGGGCUCAACCCCCGGACUGCUCUGGAAACUGUACGGCUGGAGUGCAGGAGAGGUAAGUGGAAUUCCUGGUGUAGCGGUGAAAUGCGUAGAUAUUAGGAGGAACACCAGUGGCGAAGGCGGCUUACUGGACUGUAACUGACGUUGAGGCUCGAAAGCGUGGGGAGCAAACAGGAUUAGAUACCCUUGUAGUC